GGACGGGCAUCUGGUGGGUGCCUGAUGGCUGGGCUGGGAGCUGGGCUGGACCCCUGGCCCCGCAUGGGCCUGGCCUGGCCUGGCUCAGGCCGUUGCACCCCGUCCUCGGGUUGCAGCCACCCUGCCAUUGCCACUCCCAGACUCUAUCUUGUUGCCAGAUGUUGCCUGCAGCCUCUGGCCGCAUCUCCGGGUGGGGAGACACGGGCCGGCCCUCGUCACCUUCCAACCUUGAUUGGGGCUGGUCUCCCAGGACGCAAGAGGGCUGGAAGCAGAGCUCUUCACGAUUCCCACGUCAGGCCUUGCAGUGACCCGAGGCACCUGGCUGUCCUGAGUGGCGUGGAUCUGAGCCUGGGGGGAGCUGGGCGCCAACCCCACCUCUGAUGCAACUGGGCCUUCUGGGGCUCUCAGUUCCCUGGCCUCAGCAGCCCCCUGCCCCCUGCUCAUUGGGACCCUGCCGGGGUGAUGUGUGCCGUUUCUGGGUUCCCUCAUAGCCCCCUUCGUCUCCCUGAGGAGGGAGCCUGCUCUGAGAGCCGGGUCCCCUCUGAGGCUCUACAGCAGGUCCUGGCUCCUCUGUCAAGACCCGCGUCCCUGGAACCUCAGUUUCCCUCCCUGGACGGGGCGGCGUCUCCGUCCUCUGCAGGGUUCCAACCGCUGCCUGUCCUGCGUCUCCAUGCCUGGCAGGCCAGACGCCCAUCUAAGAAUUGGGGACCUGCUUCCCUGGUGGGCAAGGCUGCUGUCCUCCGAGGAGGGACCUCACUCUCACAUGCUGGAUGUGCCUGUCCUUCCCCAAGUGACCGGUCCGUAGCAUGACAGCCUCCAGGGGCCCAGCUGAGUCUGCCCGCUCCCAUCGCCUCAAGCCUGGACCUGGCCCAGCCUCUGUCCCCCUGCCCAGCUGGGCCCCACCCCCGGAUGCAGGAGUCUCGGAGGCGCCUCAGGCCUGGCGGUGGAUCCCGAGCCCGGGAGCGGCCGCAUCUGGAAUGGACCUGGCCUGGGUCCAGCGAAGCCAGGGCCCUGAGGUCUGAGCACCACUGGACAGACUCAAGGGCCGCCCUGGAGGUGAGAGACCACCAGGCCCGAGGACACACCCAGGCCCCCGAGGUCCAGCCGGCAGCCCGGCCU
ensembl:lncRNA